rnacentral:siRNA from 1 species
AGCCAUAAGUUGUGCUGAUGCGUC